rnacentral:lncRNA from 1 species
AUGUAAUGUCCUGAAAAUGUUGAUUAAAUCUAAUUUUUCUAUUGUGUCAUUUAGGAUCUGUGUUGCCUUACUGAUUUUCUGUCUAGGGGAUCUGUCCAUUGAUGUGAAUGGGGUGUUAAAGUCUACUACUAUUAUUGUAUUCCCAUCAAUUUCUCCUUUGAUGUCUGUUAAUAUUUGUUGUAAGUAUAUGGAUGCUCCUAUAUUAGUGGCAUAUAUAUUGACAAUUAUAAUAUCCUCUUCUUGAAUGGAUCACUAACCAUUAAAUAGUGUCCUACUCUGUCUUCUUUAUGCCCGUGGCAUACCUCUCCCCCACCCAUGGAGCACUGCUCCUUAGCCCCUCAGACUGUCCCCACACAGCCACCCCCAGUCCUCUCCCCAAGACUGACCUCCAGAGCCUGAGUCUCAGCACCCAGCCCCACCCAAGCAUCUCAGGCUAUGGUGACCAAGACGGUGGUUCAGAUGAUCUGUGCGGCUCUCACUCUGCUUUGCUGUUCUCAGUCCAGCUGCAGCACUUAUCUUGGAGACUUUGAGGUCCUGCCAACUUGGCUGAUCUUUCCAUUAGUUAGGUGGCUUCCCAGGAUGUGGGUUCCUUUUUUUUUUCACUGCUCCCUCUUGGGAAUGCUCAUCCAGUUCUGAUUCCUUCUCUCUCUCUCUCUCUCUCUCUCUCUUUUUUUUCUUUCAUUCUACCCAGUUAUGUCAAGAGUUUCUUGCCCUUUUUGGAGGUUUAAGUUCUUCUGCCAGCAUUCAGUUGAUGUUCCGUGCGAGUUGUUUUACAUGUAGAUGUGUUUUUUUGAUGAGUUUGUGGGAGAAGGUGAACAUGACCUCUUACUCCUCUGCCAUCUUGCUCUGCCUCUGGAAAAGUACUAUUUUAAACAAUUAAAAUUUUAUCAAUUUUUUAACAAAAUUAGUGUUGUAGUUGCAUAUAGUUUUCUGUCAUUUAUUUUUACAAUGUUAGGAAAUAUUAAUGAAUGAAUAAAAACUGCACAUAUUGAUAUGCUAUGAGGAGAAAAAAAUCUUGUUCUUCCUUUUUUUAACCUUUUAAUUUAGUUUGAAAAUUUCUACUAGCAUUUAAUACUAAUAAGAUUUCAUGAUGUCUGUUGUAAAGCUAAAUCAUCAUUGUUAGAAUAGCAUAGGGAUUAUGUUAGUUUUCCAGAUCAUCUUCUUAGUCAAGAGGGAGAUGAACCACACUCUUGUGGAUGUUCUUUUAGUUUAUUCCCGACAACUUUCAAAAAAACAUAUCUAUAGAAAGGAGACAGGAAGAGAAGAGACAUACAAUCCACAACAGAGAAAUAUAUUAGUAGAUGCCACUAUGCCAGUUCAUUCAGUGAACACCUCGUGUGUGCCAGGGUCUGCAUUAGUCACAAGAAAUGCAAUGGUAAGCAAGGCUGUCCUCAUAUACACCAUCACAGAACUACAUUCUGGUUGGAAAUGAGACGAGAAAGUGCCAGGAUUCAAGAUAGGGCACAGUCAAAAGCAUAAAUUAGCAAGUCCUCUCACAGAAAUGAGAUGAAAAUGAGCUUGACCUAAUGCAACAUAUAAAUAGAAGACAGUGAGAUAAGAUAAUGGAGAGGUAUUGAGGAUGUGAACGGAUACAGCUGCAAAUCUAGGAUUAAUGCCUUUGAAUAAAAUAGAAAAUUGAGUCUUAGACAUAGUCUGGAAUGAUCUGCCUCAAACUGUAAACAGAUGUAACCACUCAAUGAGUUUUCUCAAAACAUAAGUCCAUGUAUUAGCAUUAUUUCAUCAGGUUGUGUUCCACUGUGUGAUAGUUUUUGGUCUUUUGUUUCGGACAUUUCCAACAUAGUAUUUUAAAAUGUAGAUGUCAUGCUUUUUUUGUGUGGUAAAUAUGUUUUGGAAGAGCAAUUUGAAAGAUGUAAUUUAUCAGUGGACAAAAAGAAAUAAAUUCCCAGGCAUAAAAGCAUUAUAGAAGAAAUAACAUUCAUUCCAUUUGUUCAGUACUUUUUUUAAUGGCUGCCCCUGUGGCAUAUGGAAGCUCCUGAGCUAGGGAUUGAAUCUGAGCCACAGCUACAACCUAUGCCACAGCUGGAGCAAAGCCAGAUCCUUUAACUCACUGUGCUGGGCUGGGGAUCAAACCUGUACCUCCAUAGCAACCUGAGCCACUGCAGACAGAUCCUUAACCCACUGUGCCACAGCAGGAACUCAUUAUUCAAUACUUUUUUUGAUAUCUACCAUGUACUAGGUAUGGUUGGUAUUUCAAGUAGAAGACAAGGAAACAAACAAAAAAAUGUCUUUACCUUCAUGGAGUUUGCAUUAAAGUGGGUGAGAAUACACAAAUUUUUAUAGGAGACAAUGAUAGGAUAUGUGUGCAAUGAAGAAGAGUAGAACAAAUAUAAAAAGGGAUAAAGAGGGUGAGCAGGCAGCAUGGAUAUUUCAGAUACAGUGAGCAGAUAGGAAUGUUAUAGGAGGUGACAUUAGACCAAAGAUCUGAAGGAAGUGAGAAAUGAACCGUAGAGGAUAUGAGUAUAGGAGAGUGAAGGAGGUCUUCCAGGAAGAGGGAACAGUAAGUGCAAAUUCCCUGAGGUGAGAACUUGACAUGUUUGAGAAAUGACAGGAGAACACUGGGGCUGUGAGCAAAGACAGAAGUGAAAGGAGAGUUGGACAGAGAGGUAAUCACGUAGAACUUUGUAGGUCACAGUAAAACAAAUCAAUUUUGUUCUAAAUAUCAUGGAAACCAACUGGAGGGUUCUGAGCAGAAAAGUGACACAAUCUAGCUUGCAUUUUGAAAAGAUAUCAUUUCUGUUUUGGGAAUAAACUCUAGGACAUGCUACCAGAAACAGGUAAAGUAGUUAAAAGGCAAUUAAUAAUAAUCUAGGUAAGAGAUUUGGUGACUUGUGUACAUGGAAGUGGUUGAGUUGAUUACAAUUGGCUAGAUUCAGACUAUAGUCUAAAAAAAAAACCCAACAGAAUUGUUAAUGGGUAUGACUGAUGAAAGGAACAUAUAAGCAGAGUUUAUGACAACACCAGAGUUUGGGAAAAAGUAAAAGCAAGAAAGAGAAUAAAGGUGAAGGCAGAAAUCUUAAAUGAGACUUUAAAUGCAGUGAUUGUGUUUGGUAGAAAUUAAAACUUUUAAAAGUGCAAUUACUUGACUUUGUAAUUGACUAGUUCUGUUGUCAAUUACACUUUUGUCACAUCAUUGGCAGCCCUUACAUUGAAUAGUCAUUUUAUUAUCAUUGUAUUAUACUCCCCUGGAGAACUGCUUUAAUGGUAUAUGAAUGUGUCAGUUGCCUGAAGGCUCAGACAAGUAAAGCACUGUAGGUCUGUGUAUUCAUAUCUUCUUGUCGAGCCUGAAAGAGAAGAUGUAAUAAUCUAAGUGUCUUUCUCACAUAGAAAGUGAUGGCAGCCUUAGAAGAUAAUGAUCUUCCAUGGGGUGGACAAACAGCCAGCAUGCUGUGCUAUGCUACUGAUGCCCUCCCAGGGCAAUUUAUUAGUCAGAAGUUUUGAAUUUCCCUAAGGGGAAAGGAAGCCUUUCAUGGGCAUAGGUUUCUUUAGUGAAUGCCUAUGACAGAGCAUUUCUUCUUCAUUCUGUGUCACAAAGCUGCUUAUCUAUUAGGAAGGGGAAAAGUCAGCUUUGAUAAAUUGAAAGCUUAUUUAAAAUUCUCUAGCUCAGAGUCAUUCUCUCUCAGUGCCUUUUAAGUUUUUACAUUCCCUAUUUUCAAGCUAAAGGGAAAAUGGGGAGAAAGGUAUCCCUUCUAACAAAAUGCAGGGCUUUGAUGGCUGGAGUUUGGUUGCAAAACAGUUUAUAAGUUACAAACAUUGAUUACAUUAACUUCCAACUGCAAUUUUUAUAGCUAUAAAAUAAAUAGUAUCAGAAUUGCUCUUAAAAGAAAACUCAGAAAGACCACCACGUGCACUUUAGCCCCUAACCCAAAUUCAUAUUACAGCUGCUCACAUUAUCCCUUCACAGUAACACCAUCCCCAUUUGAAUAGAAAUAACUUGUUUAGGUGUGGGUUUGAUCUUCUAUCAACACCCUAUGGAAGCUAAUGACAGUUUUAUGAGAACUGUGUUGAUCUUAGCCUUAUAUCUGGGGAUAAAAAAAGGAGUAUCUGGAAUUUGGGUUAAUUGUAGGGCUGAAACUAAACCUACUGCUUUUCAACCUUGUCUCGCUUGGAAUGUCAUUAAGAGGCAUGGAAGCACAAUUGAGAAAUCUCCACAGAGCUAGCAGGCGGGUCACUAUGUGACUUAGGAACACAAAAUUGCAUCCACAAAAGGUUACUUAAACCUUUUCUAUUGCUGUUUACCCCAAAUCACCUCCCUUAUCGGCAAGCUAAAUUAAAAGUUUUGAGUUACAGUUUAUCUCAGGGACCACUAAGGAACUCUACCUCGUAGAGCAGAUGAUUCCUCAAACCAUUCAUCAUCCUCUUUGCUCAUACUCAUCUUUGGGCUCAUUCCAUGAGGAUUUUUUUCUCCUGUUUGUACCAUUGCUGUUCUAUUGUCUUAGUUCUCUUCAUGUUGAAUGGAAAUAUUAACAGCUGACACCCAAUACUACCUAGAACAAUGUAAGACUUGAAUAAAUGUGGGCUACAUUAGCAAGUUAAUUUUAAUAACACAUCUGGGAGGACAUAUCAUGUCUACCUUUGAAAAGUUCUAAAUUUAAGUAGUUGGGUGUUGAGGGUGGAGGUUGCUAAGGAGAUGAUGACUAUCUGAGCAGAGAGAAGCACAAAGGGCCCUUCUGGCCAUUACCCAGGAUUCCUUAGAAAUCCUCACAGUUGAAAGAGCUUUAAGACUAGAACUUUAAGAUCAGAACCUACAUAUUAUAUAAUAUUUGGGAAGACCUUCUCUACUAGUUCAAAAUUUAUCUUUAAAAAGAAAUCACCUUUCCCUUAAAAUAUAAAGCUAUUAUUACUAUUACUACUAGAAUCAAAUCCUGCUGGCCAGAACUACUUGAGGCAGCAUUGGCCUCACUUGGGAGACUUCAGAUAUAUCCCCCCACCCCUCGAGUCUCAAAUCCUACCUGGAGCUGCUGGAUCCAACUUGCAGUAUGGUAAGGAUCCCCGGUGAUUACAGUGCUCAUUAAAGUUUGAGAAGCCCUGGCAUGGAGAACAAGCUCUGAAGUCAGAAUAAUAAUAAUGGCAAUUCAGCAUGAUGUGUCCAGUACAGUCAAGCAAUUUAUAUUAUCACCAACACUUUUUUAAACUAACAAUAACAAAACAAGCCAAUGAGGAGUAACUUUUCCACAUGUAAGUGCUAUCAUAUGAUAUUUGUCUUUCUCUUUCUGACUUACUUCACUUGGUAUGAAAAUCUCUAGUUGCAUUCACGUUGCUGCAAAUGGAAUUAUUUGCUUCUUUUUAAUGGCUGAGUAGUAUUCCAUUGUAUAUAUAUACCACAUCUUCUUAAUCUAUUCAACUGUUGAUGGACAUUCAAGUUGUUUCCAUGUCUUGGCUAAUGCGAAUAGUGCUGCAAUUAACAUAGGGUACAUGUAUCUUUUUUUAUUUUGGGGCCACACCAAUGGCAUAUGGAAGUUCCUAGUCUAGGGGUCAAAUUGGAGCUGUGUCUGUGACCUGCACUGCAGCUCCUGGCAAUGGCGGAUAUUUAACCCACUGAGCGAGGCCAGGGAUCGAACCCAUGUCUUAAUGGUUACUAAUUGUGCUACUACUGAUUCAAAACAGGAACUCCACAUGUAUCAUUUUGAAUGAAAGUUUUGUCCAGGUAUAUGUCCAGGAGCAGGAUUUCUGGGUCAUAUUAUAGUUCUAUAUUUAGUUUUCUUAGGAACAUCCAUACUGUUUUCCAUAGUGGUUGUAAUAUUUACAUUCCCAACUACAGUGUAGGAUGCUUCCUUUUUCUCCACACCCUUUCCAUCAUUUAUUUGUAGACUUGUUAAUCAUGACCAUUCUGAUAGGUAUGAGGUGAUACUUCAUUGUAGUUUUGUAUAUGACACAAAGGAAAAUAGCCACAAAACAGAAACAGACUCACAGACAUAGAGAACAGACUUGUGGUUGCCAAAGGGGAGAGGAGAGGGAGAGGAAUGGAUGGGGAGUUUGGGUUGGUAGAUGCAAACUAUUACAUUUAGAAUGGAUAAGCAAUGAGUUCCUGCUGUAUAGCACACAGGGAACUAUAUCUCUUGGGAUAGAACAUGAAGGAAGAUUUUAUGAGAAAAAAUAUAUAUAUGUAUGCUGGGUUAUUAUGGUGUACAAGAGAAAUUAACAGAACACUGUAAAUCAACUAUACUUCAAUAAAAGAAAAAGUAAAAAAGAGUAAUUUGUCCAGUCACACACCUAAUGCAGGCAUACCUUGUUUUAUUGUGCUUCACUUUACUGUG